GACGAACGCUGGCGGCGUGCUUAACACAUGCAAGUCGAACGAAUAGAGGGAAAGAGCUUGCUCUUUCCGGAAUUGAGUGGCAAACGGGUGAGUAACACGUAAACAACCUGCCUUCAGGAUGGGGACAACAGACGGAAACGACUGCUAAUACCGAAUAAGUUCCAAGAGCCGCAUGGCCCAUGGAAGAAAAGGUGGCCUCUACCUGUAAGCUAUCGCCUGAAGAGGGGUUUGCGUCUGAUUAGCUGGUUGGAGGGGUAACGGCCCACCAAGGCGACGAUCAGUAGCCGGUCUGAGAGGAUGAACGGCCACACUGGAACUGAGACACGGUCCAGACUCCUACGGGAGGCAGCAGUGGGGAAUCUUCCGCAAUGGGCGAAAGCCUGACGGAGCAACGCCGCGUGAGUGAUGACGGCCUUCGGGUUGUAAAACUCUGUGAUCCGGGACGAAAAGGCAGAGUGCGAAGAACAAACUGCAUUGACGGUACCGGAAAAGCAAGCCACGGCUAACUACGUG
rnacentral:rRNA from 1 species